GCUCCGGAAACGCAUUUACAUUCCACACAUUUAAGCGCCGCACCAUUUAGAAAUAUGCAAAAAUAUGUACACACCGCAGAAACUUUCAGUGUUUACUUGCACGUGUUGGGUGAAGGGGAUUAAGGAGCAGAUUAUAUACUCGUACGCUGAAAGGGGGACGUGGCAACUCGUGUGGUUCGGGACGCCGUGUGGACAAACCUGCGGUGAAGUGAAGCGUUUCGGAGCUUCGACACGCUGAAGCACCUCAGUAUCGGAUUAGUUUGCUACGAAGCGCUGGUGGCAGUAAAGAAUGUGUGUCUGUGAGGGGCGGACUGGCAGGCUGGCUGACUGACUUCGUGUGCACGUGUGUGUGUGUAUGCCUGACAAAACGGUUUAAAUUUGUCCGCGAAAGUUACCACAUGGAGGGCUGACAAAGGCUGACGAGGCUACGAACGCUGCUGCAGGGACGCUCCUAGUUGAGGGCUGGCUGCUGGGGAGUCUUGAGUGAGAAUUGGAGAGAGGAGCUUCCCGACCUACGCAGGGAGUCCCGGCACGGAGGAAUUGUUAUCUCUGUGUGACGAAGCGGGGCCGCGGCCUGCCGUCGAGGGACACUGGGAAGGACGCCCGGGAGUCGCCUCUGCCCGCCAUGCUGGCGGUGCCUCUACCGGGACGGGUGGCAGGGCGUGGCGGAGGGAGCGGCGGCGUCCCCUUCCCGGAACCCUGCGUGAGGGCCUCUCAGAUCACUCCUCGUGUUUCCGGGAAAAUAAGUAGCGCAGUGGGUCUGGACUCCCUGUUGUGUAAUUAGUAAACUUUGGACCAACAAAUUACACAUUGUCAUUGGCCCUUUUUUCCUGACGCGAGGCAUUUGUGAUGCUAAAUCGACCUCAUCUUUACAGGAAGAGAUUUUUUUGUUUUGUUGUUUUGCAUUUCUAGCCAUGACUUUAGUGGAGGCUGUCUGCUCGUCUUCUGUCUCUGAUCGAAUCUUCAACCCUGUGUAAUGGCGAAAGAUGUUCAUCAUUUAUAUGGAAGUGGAAUUCUCAUAGAGCUUCCAUCAGCAGAAAACUCCAUAUACUCCACACCGCUUCUCACCUCACAUAAAAUAUUACAUUUGCAUGCUGCCACAGUGGCGCUCUUGGUGAAUAAUGCAGCAAACGUAAUAAUUUUUCAUGUGUGGCGGAUGCUAAAAUAUUAAAAUGU